rnacentral:rRNA from 1 species
UACGGAGGGUGCGAGCGUUAAUCGGAAUAACUGGGCGUAAAGGGCACGCAGGCGGGCUUUUAAGCGUGAGGUGAAAUCCCCGGGCUUAACCUGGGAAUAGCAUUUCAGACUGGUGGUCUAGAGUACUUUAGGGGGGGGUAGAAUUCCACGUGUAGCGGUGAAAUGCGUAGAGAUGUGGAGGAAUACCGAAGGCGAAGGCAGCCCCUUGGGAAUGUACUGACGCUCAGGUGCGAAAGCGUGGGUAGCAAACAGG